rnacentral:rRNA from 1 species
UACGGUAGGGUGCAAGCGUUGAUCCGGAAUUAUUGGGCGUAAAAGAGCUCGUAGGCGGUCUGUCGACGUCGGAAUGUCGAAAACUCGGGGGCUCAACCCCGAGACCUGCAUACGAUACGGGCAGGACUUGAGUUCGGCAGGGGAGACUGGAAUUCCUGGUGUAGCGGUGAAAUGCGCAGAUAUCAGGAGGAACACCGGUGGCGAAGGCGGGUCUCUGGGCCGAUACUGACGCUGAGGAGCGAAAGCGUGGGGAGCGAACAGG